UCCUUCUCUUCAUUCCAAAUGAAGAAAGCUUCCCCUUCUCCUUCUCCCUUAUCGUCUCCAGCUUGGGUUUCCAUUGGCGUGACCCAACCAGCAACUUGUAGUCCUUCUGUAAUUGAGGAGUGGUGCAUAUUCUGCUCCCUGAACUAUCAUCUUCCUCAGACUCCUUGAUUUUGCUUUGUUCCAUCAGUUGCGAUAUAAACUCAUC
rnacentral:misc_RNA from 1 species